rnacentral:rRNA from 1 species
CGCUCUCUGUUUUAAAUUUAUAGAGAGUCUGACCUGCCCAGUGAUUUAUUUAACGGCCGCGGUACCCUGACCGUGCAAAGGUAGCAUAAUCAUUCGCUUUUUAAUUGAAGGCUUGUAUGAAUGGUUUGACGUGGGCUAUGCUGUCUCCUAAGAAUUUUAUAGAAGUUACUUUUUAGGUGAAAAAGCCUAAAUAAAACUAUGGGACGAGAAGACCCCUUUGAGCUUUAGUGACAUAGAAUAAUAAGUUUACUGAAGAAAUUCAGAUAAUAUUAUUAUACUAUUAUUUUUAGUGGGGGAAAACAGAGGAGGAAAAUUAGUCUCCUCUUGUAUAAGUAAGAAUUGAUAAAUUUAUUUAAUGAUCCGUAUAAGGCGAUUAAAAGAGAAAGUUACCACGGGGAUAACAGCGUAAUAUCUCCUGGAGAGUUCUUAUUGAAAGGAGGGUUUGCGACCUCGAUGUUGGACUAGGACAUCCUAAAGGUGCAGAAGUUUUUAAGGGUUGGUCUGUUCGACCAUUAAAGUCCUACA